GUAGGUGGCAAGCGUUGUCCGGAAUUAUUGGGCGUAAAGCGCGCGCAGGCGGUCCUUUAAGUCUGAUGUGAAAGCCCACGGGCUCAACCGUGGAGGGUCAUUGGAAACUGGGGGACUUGAGUACAGAAGAGGAAAGCGGAAUUCCAAGUGUAGCGGUGAAAUGCGUAGAGAUUUGGAGGAACACCAGUGGCGAAGGCGGCUUUCUGGUCUGUAACUGACGCUGAGGCGCGAAAGCGUAGGGAGCAAACAGGAUUAGAUACCCUGGUAGUCCACGCCGUAAACGAUGAGUGCUAAGUGUUAGGGGGUUUCCGCCCCUUAGUGCUGCAGCUAACGCAUUAAGCACUCCGCCUGGGGAGUACGGCCGCAAAGGCUG
rnacentral:rRNA from 1 species